GUGGGGAAUAUUGGACAAUGGGCGCAAGCCUGAUCCAGCCAUGCCGCGUGAGUGAUGAAGGCCCUAGGGUUGUAAAGCUCUUUCACCGGUGAAGAUAAUGACGGUAACCGGAGAAGAAGCCCCGGCUAACUUCGUGCCAGCAGCCGCGGUAAUACGAAGGGGGCUAGCGUUGUUCGGAUUUACUGGGCGUAAAGUGCAAGUAGGCGGAUCGUUAAGUCGGGGGUGAAAGCCGGGAGCUCAAGUGCAGAGCUGCCUUCGAUACUGGCGAUCUUGAGUCCGGAAGAGGUGAGUGGAACUCCUAGUGUAGAGGUGGAAUUCGUAGAUAUUAGGAAGAACACCAGUGGCGAAGGCGGCUCACUGGUCCGGUACUGACGCUGAGGUGCGAAAGCGUGGGGAGCAAACAGGAUUAGAAACCCCUGUAGUCC
rnacentral:rRNA from 1 species